AACGAACGCUGGCGGCAGGCUUAACACAUGCAAGUCGAGCGCCCCGCAAGGGGAGCGGCAGACGGGUGAGUAACGCGUGGGAAUCUACCGUGCCCUACGGAAUAGCUCCGGGAAACUGGAAUUAAUACCGUAUACGCCCUACGGGGGAAAGAUUUAUCGGGGUAUGAUGAGCCCGCGUUGGAUUAGCUAGUUGGUGGGGUAAAGGCCUACCAAGGCGACGAUCCAUAGCUGGUCUGAGAGGAUGAUCAGCCACAUUGGGACUGAGACACGGCCCAAACUCCUACGGGAGGCAGCAGUGGGGAAUAUUUGACAAUGGGCGCAAGCCUGAUCCAGCCAUGCCGCGUGAGUGAUGAAGGUCUUAGGAUUGUAGAGCUCUUUCACCGGUGAAGAUAAUGACGGUAACCGGAGAAGAAGCCACGGCUAACUUCGUGCCAGCCGCCGCCGUAA
rnacentral:rRNA from 1 species